CCUACGGGUGGCAGCAGUGGGGAAUUUUCCGCAAUGGGCGAAAGCCUGACGGAGCAACGCCGCGUGAUCGAAUGAAGGCCUUCGGGUUGUAAAGAUCUGUUGACAGGGACGAAUAAGCAAUGCGAAUAGUUUUUUGUAUGACGGUACCUGUUUAGAAAGCUCCGGCUAACUACGUGCCAGCAGCCGCGGUAGUACGUAGGGAGCAAGCGUUGUCCGGAAUUACUGGGCGUAAGGGGGGCGUAGGUGGGCGCUUAAGCCAGGUGUGAAAGCCCCGGGCUCAACCUGGGGACUGCACUUGAAACUGGGUGGCUUGAGGGCAGGAGAGGAAAGUGGAAUUCCUGGUGUAGCGGUGAAAUGCGUAGAUAUUAGGAGGAACACC
rnacentral:rRNA from 1 species